AUUAGACCGCCCUUGUAUACAACUAUACUUAACACAUCCAGGGCCCAGGACUUGCCAAUUAGUGCCAAACUACAAUUGCGAUACGCAGUGGGUUUUAGCUUCAAAAUAUUUUCUAUUUCUUAUUUUCUGAUUGGUCUUUUAAAAAAUGUCGAAAGUACAGCAAAGUCGAGCAAAUCAGCAACAACCACAAGGUUAUGGUCAACAACAACAAGGUUAUGGUCAACAACAAGGUUAUGACCAACAACAACAACAAGGUUAUGGUCAACAACAGUAUGGUUUUCAACAACAACCCACGCAUAAUACAACUGUAGUUAUUCAACAACCAGGGGUACAAGUAAAGGGCAAGAGAUCAUGGAAAAAUGGAUUAUGUGGCUGCUGUAAUGAUAUACCUAUCUGCUGUAUGGUCACAUUUUGUGGACAAUGUUACGGCUGUUAUCUGAUGACCCAAGCUGAUGAAUCUUGUUGUACGGCUUUCUGCUGCCCUGGUUAUCUUUUACCGCUCCGAUCUUACGUCAGAGGACGUCUUGGAAUAGAGGGCAACAUUAUGAGCGAUUUCUGUCAUUUGGCCUGUUGUUAUCAAUGUGUUAUGUGUCAGUUAGGCCAGGAAUUGCAGUCAAGCAGGGCAUCCGGAGAAUGGCAGAUGUCUUAAACAAUUCUAUCAUUAAACUUUCAUUG